rnacentral:lncRNA from 1 species
AAAUAAUAAGUUAUCUCGCAAUUAUUUUUACUAUAGGGUUGAAGUAAAUCGAAAUGUGAGGGUAGUCAAAUUUGGACAUUUCACCUUAAUUUAUAGGCAUAUAUAUUAGGGUUCCAUUGCAGUGCAGCCUCCAGGUAUUCUUUUUCUUCUCUGUUUCUCCUCUGUUAUGUUCUAAUUUCUACAGUUUUAGUUCUGCUUUGCCUUUUAAUCUGUUAUGUUCCUUAAUCUUGUAUGUUAUUAAUUUAUCUUAGCAAGGAUAUAGAGGAGGAAAAUGAUGAAAUAUAGCAGGUACUUAUGAUGGAUAUGUGACCAGAUUGUGCUCCUGGUGCUGCCAUUUUUGGUUGUGCUGAGCUUCUAGGACUCAUAUAUCUGGUUGAUUAUCUAAUCAAUUACUUGCUGAUUCCUUCUUUGUCCUUUGUUUAAAUCACCUUGCUCUACAUUUUGUGCCUUUUUCACUCUUUUACUAAAUGGAUUACCUAGCGCGACCAUGUUAUUCCAAUUGGUAAACUGUCAAACGAAAACAAAAAAAUUAAUCCUACUUCGGUCUGUUGAGUCCCACAUCGGUAGGAAUGAGAAUUCUAUGCUUAAUAUAUAGUCUUAGACAAGUGGUGAAACCAGAAUUUUCAUUAAGGAGGUUAAGAAGUAAACAUACAAACUAAACGAAGAGGUUCACAUCUACUAUAUAUACGUAAAAAAAAAUAUAACUUUAACUAUAUAUAAAUAGGAUAGUUUUCUGCCAAAGUCAGUCUUGGAGCCAGGAUAACCGAAGAGGGUUCGUCAUCUACUAUAUACAGUGGCGGAGCCAGGAUAACCGAAGAGGGUUCGUCAUCUACUAUAUAUACAUAAAAAAUAAUUUUAACCAUAUAUGUAUAGAGUAUAAUUUUCCGUCAAAGGGGGUUCUUUCCCAAGUGUAGCUCCGCCCCUGACCAAAGGGAUGAACCCCCUGGCCUAAGGUAGCUCCGCCCCUUUCUUAGACAAUCCUCACCCUUGCUAGUUAGGUUUUGGGUUGAGUUAGACCAAGAUCCACUUUUUAUUAUGUUCCUACAAUUUCCAUGUGUCUUAUCUGUUUUAUCUUAUCUGAAUUGCUGAAUGUCGUACUUGAGCAGCUUUUUGAACCUAAGUUGCGCAUACUCUUCACUUUCGAUACCCCUCCCGCUACUUUUGGAGAAUCUGAAACGCACUCGUUAACAUCAUUGAAGAGUUCGAGAAACAUAGGUCUGAACUGAGUUAGUGAAUAGGAUGGAGAAAUCAGAAUCUGAUGUAGUUAUGAAAGUUUCUUAGUAAAGCAAUUCAUAACAAGGAACAAAGGUUGCAUUAUAUACAUGAAGGCUAGUAAUGCAUCAACUUUCACUCGAGGUAGAAAAACAUUUGAUGAAGUUAUAUCUUGGUUAUUUAAGAAACAUCAAGUUGAUUAACCUGUUCUUGCACACUCUUUUUGUUAUGUCCUUGUUACAUUUUAGUCUCAUCUUUAAUGUGAUGAUUAUUAUUAUGUCAUUGAUACAAAGAACGAAAUGAAUGGAGAUUUUCUUUUGCAAAUUUCAUCAGCCUUUAUGGUCAUGAUUCCGAUUAUUGGAACUAGAAGAUGACGCCGUAGUGUUUGUUGUUUCGAGAUGUUCAUUUCCCAAUUGGCCUAGUGAACCCUUCUCCACUUUCUCCCUUUUCACGAUUUCCUCAUCGAUAUGUACAUCUUCAUCAAUUGUCAAAAUAACAGCUUUUGUUCCAUCUGGACGGGUUACAACGUCUUCAUGGACCUUCAUGUGUUCAUCCACUUUCACGAUAUCAGUUUCCUGAGAAGUUCUCUUCUUUUUCUUCUUAAGGAAGCAGAAGAGAGCAACUGAUAGAAAUGCCAGAAAGAAUAGACCACCAAGUGAGACGAAUAUAAUGAUGAUGGUAUGCGAAUGAUGUCCUGGUGGAGAUGGGGGCGGAGUUGGAACAACGUGAGGUGGCGGUGGAGGAUAAAAGGGAUGUGGUGGGGCCACUUUGGGUGGUGAUGGUGUAACAGGCGGACGUGGUGGUGAUGGUGUAACGGGAGGACGUGGUGGGGCCACUUUUGGUGGUGAUGGUGUAACUGGUGGAUGUGGUGGUGUGACUGGUGGACGUGGUGGUGCCACUUUUGGUGGUGAUGGUGUCACUGGUGGACGUGGUGGUGCCACUUUCGGUGGUGAUGGUGUGACUGGUGGACGUGGUGGUGCCACUUUCGGAGGUGAUGGUGUUACCGGUGGAUGUGGUGGUGCCACUUUUGGUGGUGAUGGUGUAACCGGCGGACGUGGUGGAGCCACUUUUGGAGGGAAAGGAGGUGUAUUAGGUUGAUGGGGUGGUGAUACACUUGGAGGAGGAAAUGGAUAGUUAUGAGGUGGGAAUGGAGGGAAGUAAGGGAAGUUGAAAUUUUGAACAGUAGCCAUUGCAAUGAAAGUUUUCUUUUGUUUUGUUAAAAGCUUAUACUGAGCUAGCUGUUUGUAUGAUGAUGAUUAUUGUUAGUUUGAGUUUGGAGUAUAUAUAUUACUUAUGUGUUAGUAUGAUAAUACUUGGAAGGUUCUUAUGACUUGACUCUUAGGCUAAGUUUUGCUAAGUUGUCAAUUGAUUGCAUUCCAAAACACUCAUCUUUUCAUGUUUACCAGGCAGGUCAUGCUGAUCAAAUGUUCAUACCUUAAUAAUUACCUAUGAACUUAAACCCAAUGUUCUGUUAUAUCAUGUAGUGAAAUGUUCUCUUUUUAACAUCUUGCCUAUGGGAUGAGAACUCCCAUUUCCAAAACCCAUCGUGUAUUUCCUAAUGUUAGAAAGGCUACUUGUAUAGUUGAUCUUGAUCAGUUCGUAAAAGAAUGUAAUGUGGACUGAAUUAUUGUUUAAAAUGAGAUAAAGCACUUUUGUGUAGCAUUUAUUUUUCACUUGAAAAGUUCCAAGUUUUAUCUUUUUCUGUUAUUUUUUUGGGUCAAUUGGAUUGCAUUUCUAUUAUCUGUUUCUAUUAUUUUAUUUUUUAAGGAGUACUUUUAGUUAUAUGCUUAGCAAAAUCUUUGAAUAAUAACCUAUGUUGCCCAUGAGUUAUAAGUUCUGGUUAUAAGUAUGUGCAUAAGUUUUGCUAGGAUGUUAUAAGUUCUAGUUAUAAUGUAAAAGGUCCCGAGACGAAAAUGAUCCAAUUUGGUCACUGUACAUUGCUAACAUGAGAAAAUGGAAUAAUUGAGAAUCUGGAGUAACUGGUCAAGCCGCCAAAAUUGCCAAGAUAGUGAUAAAUCUUGUUAGUAAAAUGGGUCCUAUAAAAGUCCAUCUAUUCCAAAUCUCCAAUAGAAAUUAAAAAAUGAUCCAUUUAUAAUCCUCCGCUAGUUGGAUUAAUGAAUCAUCCGAUUGGAAAUGAUUAACAAAAUGCAUAAGUCGUUAGAAGGUGUGCACAAGUAAGUUUUGUGAGGUAAGAGCUUGGGACAUUUCAAGAGUAUUGCUUACUGAAAAGAGUUUUAGUUGUGUUGACUUGUGAAUGGAGCAACACUUGCAUUAACAUGAAUCCAAUAGAAAAGUCAUCUGCUGCAACAGAUAGUCAUUUGCUACUUUAACAGAAGUGGGAAUAAUUCAACAACUAUUGUAAAUGAAUAUAACAACACUUUGCUUGAAAAGCCAAAGCUCGUCGCCAAUCGAGUGGGUUCAAACUCUGACUUGUCGAUAUGUUUCGUAUUUCUGCCUCAUAGGUAAAACUUAAUUUACACCUAUAAGUUAAUGGAUAAGAUUUUAAGUGAGGUCAAAAGUUCAAGACCGAUCCUUGUGGGUCA